CCGUCCGGCGGAUUGUGUGGCUCCCACGUAGCGCCACGUGUGUUGUCAAAGACGCGAACACCUCGUCUCAUCUUCACUGUGAAGGGCUGCCUUUGCGCCUCGCCCCACUCGAGAACGGCUGUGAAGCUCAUUCUAACUCUCUUCCACUCUUACCCUCAAGCAGGCCGGCGCUGAGCGAGUUUAUUGUUCCUCACGAAUGCCCGCCACCACGAUGGUCGCCGAUCCACUCUCGCAGAUCGUGUCGCAGGUGAUCGACGACGUGAGUUUCUCCCAGACACAUACAGUCAGCGAUGACUUCAGGGUGUACCCAAAGUCGUCUAUCGACAGCGUUAACACGCUUCAGCAGGAGCAGCGAAAGCGCGUGGAGCAGACGUAUGGCGCACGCGCACCAUCCCCUGAUUUUCUGGGAUCUCAGCUGCUGGCGGAGUACCGCGGCGAGGCGGCUUCGUUGCAGCUCGCUAAAGAGUCCGGGGACCCCAACUUCCCUACCUCUAUUUCACGCAUGACGGGCGAGCAGAGCAAGCAGUUCAAGAAGGACAUGAAACAGCGCAUCCACGAGUGGGAGGCAACGGUACGAGAUGCAACAGGGCAGACAGAAGUCUACCCGGACCAGAAGGCCUCGUUGCGCUCCAUCUAUGAACUCUACCGCGCCACCAAGAUGAAGGUGCUGGGGGUGGAGCCCUCUCCGGGCACGCACGCAGCAACAGCGGAAACGUCCGCUACAGGCAGCCGGGAUGUGUCGCAAAGCGUCGCUGCACAUGCUGCGGGUGCAUCGUCGGCGCCAGCUUCUGCAGUUGGUGGGGCCAGGUCGGAGAGCACUCGACUGAGCACAUCAGGUGCCAAGGACACUACUGCAGGCUUUACCAAAGCGCUGCCGGGCUCAGCCGCCGCUGCUGGCGGCGAGGCUCGCGCAGCGUCGAGCGGCGCCGCAGCGCCUGGAAUGGCUAGCAGCGGCGCUGACUGGAUUAAGCGCAUUGAGCGGGUGCCGCUGGGCACGGAGGACGUGUCGAAGAUGGCUGAGGACGCGUUGCAGACGGAGAAGCGCCGCUUGAAGCAGGUACUGCACCGCUUCGAAAGCGACUUCGAGAAGUACAACGGCGUGCGCCCAGGCCGGCAUGACCGCCAAGGCUUCACGGCAGAGUACCACCGCUACGGCGAGCUGAAGAACGAGCUUAUGCGCCGUUCCCAGAAGUAGAGAUGUAGGGUUAGAGUGCAGCUUUACUGGCACGUGCGCGCCAAGCUCUCCACAACCCCGCUGCCAAGCGUUAAGCAUCGGCGCAGAGGCAACGGGAGACGGGGGCGGUCGGUUUUACAAAAAGGCGUCGAUGAAGUCGGAAAACAAGCAGAGGGAUCUAGAGGGUAGAGGCGGGAGAGGUAAGCAGCGAGCACACUUGCACGCCUGUAUUUAGAGGGAUUGAGAGGGGCAGCGGUGAACUGCGCAGGCUACCCAUCGCACUCGUCUCUGCGGCUGUGCCUAAGUGUUCUGCGCCUUUCUGUGCCUGCCGCUAUGCUUAUUUGGCUGCUCUCUCCCUUCGGUUUCCUUUCACCCGCCAACUCCCACCUCCCGCAGCGGAAUCUUUUGAUAUGAGUGUUGUUGUGUUUCCGCACCGCGGCCGCCUCUCCCCUUCUCCCGGCGGCCUCCCCUCCGCUACGCCCGUCUCCUCUUUGCUGCCUCUUUUCUGCAUCAUCUUGUGCGACAAGGCGUGUGCACGUCUGCUGUGCACUCGAU
rnacentral:misc_RNA from 1 species